rnacentral:lncRNA from 1 species
GCAAAUGUGACUGGUGGAGCUAAGGACUGUGAAGAAAAUCGAGCAGGGUUUGAGGAUGGGAGCUAGUGGGGACGGUGCUAGUUUAAACUUUUAAAUAGGGUGGUCUGGAAAGGUCUAUUUGAGAAGGUAAUAUUUGAACAGAGGAAGGGAAGGAAGUAUCCCGCCAUGCAGCUGGGGUAGGGGAGAGGGUGGAAGUGAAGGUGCCCCAGGGGAGGAGACAUUGAGUGCAAAGAUGAGAAAGGACACACCUGGGUGUUCCAGGAGCAGCCAGAACACCAGUGCGACUGCGGGAGAAGCAGGGAUGAUGGGAGGUGAGUUCAGGAGGAGGGGCAGAGAUGAUGGGAGGCGAGUUCAGGAGGAGGGGCAGGGGUAAUGACAGGCGAGUUCAGGAGGAGGGACAGGGAUAAUGACAGGCAAGUUCAGGAGGAGGGGCAGGGAUAAUGACAGGCGAGUUCAGGAGGGGCAGGGAUGAUGGGAGGCUGGUACAGGAAGGGCAGGGAUGAUGGAGGCAAGUUCAGGAGGAGGGGCAGGGAUAAUGACAGUUGAGUUCAGGAGAGGGGGCAGGGAUAAUGACAGGCAAGUUCAGGAGGGGCAGGGAUAAUGACAGGCGAGUUCAGGAGGAGGGGCAGGGAUAAUGACAGGCUAGUUCAGGAGGAGGGGCAGGGAUAAUGACAGGCGAGUUCAGAAGCAGAGGCAGGGAUGAUGGGAGGCCAGCUCAGGAGGGACAGAGAUGAUGGAGGCAAAUUCAGGAGGAGGGGCAGGGAUGAUGGAGGCAAAUUCAAGAGGAGGGGCAGGGAUGAUGGGAGGUGAGUUCAGGAGAGGCAGGGAUGAUGGAGGCCAGUUCAGGAGAGGCAGGGAUGAUGGGAGGCAAGCUCAGGAAGAGCAGGGAUGAUGGAGGCGAGUUCAGGAGAGGCAGGGAUGAUGGAGGCGAGUUCAUGACAAGCAGGGAUGACAAGAGGCAAGUUCAGGAGAAGCAGGGAUGAUGGGAGGCUAGUUCAGGAGAGGCAGGGAUGAUGGAGGCGAGUUCAGGAGAAGGGGCAGGGAUGACAAGAGGAGAGUUCAGGGGAGGAAGGGAUUAUGGAGGCAAGCUCAGGAGAAGCAGGGAUGAUGGGAGGCAAUUUCAGGAGGGGCAGAGAUGAUGGAGGCAAGUUCAGGAGGAGGGGCAGGAAUGAUGGAGGUGAGUUCAGGAAAGGCAGGGAUGGUAGGAGGCGAGUUCAGGAGGGGCUGGGAUGGAAGGGCCACGCAGCCAUGGUAAGGCCUUUGGUUUUAUGAAAUGGGUAAGACCUUAGGAGAAUUUCAGGCCGAGGAAUGACAUGAUCUGACAGGUUUUAGAAAUACUGUUCCAGCUGCUAUGGGGAGAGCAGACUGGCAAGUCAGGCAAGUGGAAAUGGUAAGAAUUGAUGGGAUUCUGGAUAUAUUUUGAAGACCAAAUUGACAGAAUUUCCUCAUUCUUUGGAUGUUGGAUAUAGAGGAAAAAAGACAAGUCAAGGAUGACUCCAAAGGGAGAUCUAUUGACAAGGAUCCAAAGGAAACACAUAAAGAAUAUUUUAAGGUAAAGGAAAAUUUUCUGUAAAAUAUUUGAAUGUAUAAUGAAUUAUAUAUC